UGGCGCCGGCGCACGGGUGCGUAACGCGUAUGCAACCUACCCAUAACAGGGGGAUAACACUGAGAAAUUGGUACUAAUACCCCAUAACAUCAGGACCGGCAUCGGUUCUGGUUGAAAACUCCGGUGGUUAUGGAUGGGCAUGCGUUGUAUUAGCUGGUUGGUGAGGUAACGGCUCACCAAGGCAACGAUACAUAGGGGGACUGAGAGGUUAACCCCCCACAUUGGUACUGAGACACGGACCAA
rnacentral:rRNA from 1 species